GAUUGAAGGUUCAUAUCUUGAAGAUGGCAACAUUUGAAAUGGUGACAAUGGAUUCGUAGCUGCUGACCAAUAUCACCAAAUAUUUAGUAUCUUUCUUUUUUAUUCAUUUUUCUCUAAUCUAUAUAAAAAUGUUACUUUCAGGUUCUGGAAAACUAUUUGAAUCUGAUUAACCAACAGUAGUUGCAGAGACAUUGUUUCUCUAUAUCAUGGUCAAUAAUUCUUCUAGUUGCAGAUGCAAUGGAUUGUGCCUUGGAGCUGAUUAAAAGGAAGAGAAAACAUUCAUUUUGACAUGGGAAACAGUAAAUUACGCUACGCAUCAGCAGCAGCAGGAAUCCGAGAGGGUAUAGAUUUGUUGAAUGUUUUGAGGAAUGUGAAAUUUUGAUACUCUUUUCAACAUGAUCGCAAAGUGUAAGCCUUAAAGCUUCCAUUACUCAGGAGGAGUGAGGCCUAUUCUCAAGACAAGUCAUCAAGGAAAUG
rnacentral:lncRNA from 1 species